AACGAACGCUGGCGGCAUGCCUAACACAUGCAAGUCGAACGAAGUCUUCGGACUUAGUGGCGCACGGGUGCGUAACGCGUGGGAAUCUGCCCUUGGGUGCGGAAUAACUUCUCGAAAGGGAUGCUAAUACCGCAUAAUGUCGUAAGACCAAAGAUUUAUCGCCCAAGGAUGAGCCCGCGUAAGAUUAGCUAGUUGGUGGGGUAAAAGCCUACCAAGGCGACGAUCUUUAGCUGGUCUGAGAGGAUGAUCAGCCACACUGGGACUGAGACACGGCCCAGACUCCUACGGGAGGCAGCAGUGGGGAAUAUUGGACAAUGGGCGAAAGCCUGAUCCAGCAAUGCCGCGUGAGUGAUGAAGGCCCUAGGGUUGUAAAGCUCCUUUACCAGGGAUGAUAAUGACAGUACCUGGAGAAUAAGCUCCGGCUAACUCCGUGCCAGCAGCCGCGGUAAU
rnacentral:rRNA from 1 species